GUCAGCGGUGCAGAUGGCGGUGAUGGCAGCUGCUGCAGGAAUGCGGUUUGGCUCGGAGAGAGACGAGAGCGCAGAGGGGUGGCUGUGGAUCAGGUGGUUGAGCGGGUCGUCCACUAAUCGUAGGGUUGGCGGUUCGAUUCCCGGCCCAUGUGACUCCACAUACCGAAGUGUCCUUGGUUCAUGACUUCAUGGGAUUAACCAGGGAAGUGUGCUGUACAAACUCCAAGCUCCCGGGUCAUUAUUUAGGUAACAUGUGGGUAAGUACCAAGACAUUUUUAAAUCAAUUUCACCAAAAUACCAGACAGUAUUAAAUCGGUCACAUUAUUAUUUCAUUUUUUAUUAUUUUGGUUCAUUAUUUUGUUGGUAAGAAGAUGAUAAGUACAGGGGAGAGAGAGGGAGAGAAAGCGAGAAAUAGACAGUGAUAGAAAGAGUGAUGAGAGAGAGAGAGAGAGAGAGAGAGUGAGUGGGAAAAGAAAGAGAGCGAGAUGGGGUAGAGAAAAAGAGAGGUAGACUGCAGUAGAGGGAGCAACAGAAGAGAGAGAGGGAGAGAAAGCGAGAAAUAGACAGUGAUGGAGAGAGUAACAGAAGAGAGAGAGAGAGAGAGAGAGAGAGACACAGAGAGAGAGAGCUACACUGUCAGUCAAAAAUCUUUAAACAUUUCUCAUUAAAGCAGCAGUAUGUAAUGUGUAUUGUGUAGAAUCCUCUGGUGCCUGGAAAAUGAACAGCACUUACAAUAAAACAUGACAAACCUUCGCUUGCCCUAUCCGACCCAACCUCCCAGUCCGAACUACAUCCAGUAUUCUUCAUGAGUUACCUUAAAAAAAAAUAUAUAUAUAUAUAUAUUUUUUUUUUUAAAAAAGAGUGGGGCAAGUGGGCUUCAUUUCAGCUGGGGGCGGAGUUAAUUUCAGGGCCAGAAAAUUUUCAACAAAAACCUGUACUGUAUAUAAAUAAGUAGCACAGAUCCAAUUUCUAAGGAGUCUUUAAAACUACAUAAUUGUUACAGAUUGUUAUGUAAUAAAAACUUUACUCAAACAUUCAAAAUGGCAUCUUUAAGAUACAGAAUAAGAUACGAUAAGAAAAAAACGUGGGAUCGUGGAGCGUACUCAGGACCUCGAAGCUUGCAGCGAUUCGAGGUUUUAUUUAUCUACAGGUUUAACACACUGUCUUUCAUAAAGCAUCAGUUAGAAUCAGAGAGGAGCUUGUUAAUACUGUUAGUUAAUAAAGGGUUAGGUCUAUAGAGGAAAACCUUUAUUUAUUUCUUUUUCAUCUUUAACCAUCAUUUUGUUCUUUGUUCUUUGUCGUUAUUGUCUUUUGUGACGGGCACUGAUAGUGAUAAAACUAAGAGUCUUUGAUAUAGAUACAGAUCUGUUUCUGAGGUAAAACCGUUGAAGAAAACAGCGUUACAGCAGAUUUUAGUAGAAAAUGGAAACCCAGUCUAACAUUGUAAGUGAAAGAGACAGUGUGUAUCGUGGACGCUGUGUUUCUGCGGUUCUUCUUUCACGAUUUGUUUUUUUGAUACUUAAAAAUCCUUCCACUUCAUUCCAAGCAAAGCUACACGCUAAAAAUAGUUUCAGAGCGUUCCCUGGUUUUGUUUUUUUCUUUUUCCAUAAAUUUUUUAUUGAAUCAUAAGAUCCCUCGUAGGUUGGGACAUAUUUUCCGCUCGCUCUCAGCGGUCAGCGCUGAUCAGACGGAGAAGACUCAGAAAAGUCUGAUCUAUAAAAAGCCUUCCUUUAAAUCUAUAUAACGAUAUACAGACACAUGACAAAUUAAAGGAAAACUCUUUUACGCUAUAGGGGGAAAGAGACGUGACAUCGCAAAUCAAACCUAAAUCUCGUCUGUAUCUCAAACGUUUCCAUUCGGAUGGGUGUGGCCUCUUCCAGGCUGACUCCGCCCCCAUCCCAGGCUCACUGAAUGGUUUGAUGAGGAUGAAAAUGAUAUAAAUCACAUGUUACGACCUUCAGACUCCAGAUCUUAAUCCAGUUAAACACUUAGUGGAGAUUUUGGAACGACGUCUCAGACAGCGCUCGAGAUUCACCGCCAUCAAGACAUCAACUGAGGGAAAGUCUUUCGGAAGAAUGGUGUUCAUCAUCACUCCAGUACAGUUCCAGAGUCGAUGUCAUGGAUCAUUAAAGCUGUUCUGGUCAUGUCAUGAAUCAUUAAAGCUCCAAAUCCUUAUUUACGGGAUAAGGAUAAGAAGGAAAAUUGCUUAUUUCAUCCUAACCAAGAGGUGGUGAGUACUCUCUUGAGCUGUGAUCUUACGGAAAGACAUCCCAGAGAUAAAAAGCAGCACAAGUCCUAAACCAGUGAUGGAAACACAGAUUUGUGUGAGCAAGGCGUGACAUGCAUUUACAGAGUCCUCCACUAAUAUUGGCACCCUUAUAUGGUAAAUGUGAGCAAAGAAGCCAGUGGAAAAAAAAGUCUUUAUUGUUUAACAUUUUGAUCUUUUAGCACACCUGGGUGACUAGGAACAGGAAAUUGUUCAACCACGACUUCCUGUUUCACAGGGGUAACACAUUCAUGAGGUAACACAUAGGCCAAAUUCCCUUAAUCAUUCAUAACGAUGGGUAAGAGCGAGGAAUAUAGCUGUGAUGUGCGACAAAAGGUUGUUGAGCUUCACAAAAUGGGGCCUGGCUAUAAGAAAAUAGCACAAGCAUUGAAAAUGCCCAUUUCCACCAUCAGGGCAAUAAUUAAGAAGUUCCAGUCAACUGGAAAUGCCAUGACUCGACCUGGAAUUGGACGUGUGUCUAUAUCGUCUCAACGCACUGUGAAGAGGACGGUUCGAGUGGAUAAAACAUCUCCAAGGAUCACAGCUGGAGAACUGCAGAAGUUAGUUGUGUCUUGGGGUCAGAAAGUCUCCAAAACUACAAUCUGAAGUCACCUACAUCACCACAAGCUGUUUGGAAAGGUUUCAAGAAAAAAGCCUCUACUCUCAUCCAAAAACAAACUCGAGCGUCUUCAGUGUGCCAGACACUACUGGAACUUCAAAUGGGAUCGGGUUCUAUGGUCAGAUCAAACCAGAAUAGAGCUUUUUGGUAAUAAACAC